UCCAAAGCUUAGCUCUUAAGAGCCAUCUCUGAUGCUCUCCUUGCUUUCUGCAAUGAUAUCACUUUUCAUCAUCAGAUUUUACUCUGAAGAUUCUCUUUGGCUCUGUCUCAGAAUGUUCCUGGUUACUGUAGUAACAGGAAUAAACACUUUUAAAUGAUUGAAAUUUUACUGAUCACUCUUUACCAGACACUCACCUAUUAGGAGGUUAGCAUCAGUUUCUUUCCAUCAUUUCUCCCAUAUAUCAUCAUCUCUAACAUGGCAGAAGUAGUACUGAAAAAGCCCAGUGGGAGAACUUCCCUCAUAGCAUCUUUCCUUGAGAUUGAGUUGAUGUUUGGGAAGGGAAGGAGACCUCAAGACACUGGAGGAGAUGUUUCUACAAUGGAAGACUGAGCUUUCACAGGGAUCUCUUGGCUACCAAGAAACUAAGUACUGGCAAGGCUCAGUGCAUGAAUGAAUAUUCACAGCUCAAGCCUAUCUCUUUACAAGAAACUCAGAUCUCAAGAAAUGAUUUAUGGACCCUGUUCUACAAAAGCAUCAAAUAUCUUAAGAACUCUCUCUCUCUAGGAACAAUUACUCUUGCAAAGCAGAAUAAACAAGAUAUAACAAGACAACACUCAGCUUUCUCCAUAAGAACUAUUUUGAAUUUCCUCCAAAAGAUAUUGUCAGACCUCCCCAACAUAUCUCAAUAUAUUUGCCUGCGUAUUAUCUCUUUGCCUGUAAAGAAUGGCCAUUAUGAUGUAACCUUUCGC